rnacentral:rRNA from 1 species
GACGAACGCUGGCGGCGUGCCUAACACAUGCAAGUCGAACGGAAAGGCGAGGCUCUUGUGUCGUGCUUGUGUGGCGAAGAGGUGAGUAAAACGUGAGUAAAAUGCACCUGACUUUGUGAUAACUUUAGGGAACACGGGAUCUUACCGGAUAUGAGAUUUUGAUGCACGGGGUGGGUAGGUAAAAUUCGGCGUUUGUGGCUGGACUGGCGGGAUAUGCGCUUCUUUGUGGGGUUGGGGCUUUCCAGGGCUUUGAAGGGUAGGCGGCCUGAGAGCGUGACCGGCGACCUUGGGACUGAGGUAAGGCCCAGACUGCUACGGGAGGCAGCAGUGGGGAGUAUUGCACAAUGGGCGGAAGCCUGAUGCAGCAGCGCCGCGUGCGGGAUGACGGCGUUCUGGGUGUAAACCGCUUUCGCCGGAGCUGAGGAGUGAGUGACGGUAAUGGGUAAGGAAGCACCGGCUAACUACGUG